UACGGAGGGUGCAAGCGUUAUCCGGAUUCACUGGGCUUAAAGGGUGCGUAGGUGGGCAGGUAAGUCCGUGGUGAAAUCCCCGAGCUUAACUCGGGAACUGCCAUGGAUACUAUUUGUCUUGAAUAUUGUGGAGGUAAGCGGAAUAUGUCAUGUAGCGGUGAAAUGCUUAGAUAUGACAUAGAACACCAAUUGCGAAGGCAGCUUACUACACAGUUAUUGACGCUGAGGCACGAAAGCGUGGGGAUCAAACAGG
rnacentral:rRNA from 1 species